rnacentral:rRNA from 1 species
UACGUAGGUGACAAGCGAUAUCCGGAAUUACUGGGCGUAAAGCGCACGCAGGUGGCUACUUAAGUCUGACGUGAAAGCUCCUGGCUUAACUGGGUGAGGUCGUUGGAAACUGAGUGGCUUGAGGCGAUGAGAGGGGUAUGGAAUUCCCGGUGUAGUGGUGGAAUGCGUAGAGAUCGGGAGGAACACCAGUGGCGAAAGCGAUACACUAGCGUUAUCCUGACGCUCAUGUGCGAAAGCGUGGGGAACUUACAGG